rnacentral:rRNA from 1 species
GGAGAACUGAGGGGGGCUGCUCCUAGUACGAGAGGACCGGAGUGGACGCAUCACUGGUGUUCGGGUUGUCAUGCCAAUGGCACUGCCCGGUAGCUAAAUGCGGAAGAGAUAAGUGCUGAAAGCAUCUAAGCACGAAACUUGCCCCGAGAUGAGUUCUCCCUGAGACUUAGAGUCUCCUGAAGGAACGUUGAAGACGACGACGUUGAUAGGCCGGGUGUGUAAGCGCAGCGAUGCGUUGAGCUAACCGGUACUAAUGAACCGUGAGGCUUAACCUUAC